AAGUCGAGCGGACAGAUGGGAGCUUGCUCCCUGAUGUUAGCGGCGGACGGGUGAGUAACACGUGGGUAACCUGCCUGUAAGACUGGGAUAACUCCGGGAAACCGGGGCUAAUACCGGAUGCUUGUUUGAACCGCAUGGUUCAAACAUAAAAGGUGGCUUCGGCUACCACUUACAGAUGGACCCGCGGCGCAUUAGCUAGUUGGUGAGGUAAUGGCUCACCAAGGCAACGAUGCGUAGCCGACCUGAGAGGGUGAUCGGCCACACUGGGACUGAGACACGGCCCAGACUCCUACGGGAGGCAGCAGUAGGGAAUCUUCCGCAAUGGACGAAAGUCUGACGGAGCAACGCCGCGUGAGUGAUGAAGGUUUUCGGAUCGUAAAGCUCUGUUGUUAGGGAAGAACAAGUACCGUUCGAAUAGGGCGGUACCUUGACGGUACCUAACCAGAAAGCCACGGCUAACUACGUGCCAGCAGCCGCGGUAAUACGUACGUGGCAAGCGUUGUCCGGAAUUAUUGGGCGUAAAGGGCUCGGAGGCCGUUCCUUAAGUCUGAUGUGAAAGCCUCCCGGCUCCACCGCGGGAGGGUCAUUGGAUACUGGGGAAAUUGGCUGCACAAGAGGGGGAGAGGAACUCCCCAUUUUUAAGGUGUUAUGUUUUAAAGAUGG
rnacentral:rRNA from 1 species